rnacentral:rRNA from 1 species
GACGUAGGGGGCCAGCGUUGUUCGGAAUUACUGGGUGUAAAGGGUUCGUAGGCGGUGCGGCAAGUUGGGAGUGAAAUCUCUGGGCUUAACCCAGAGGCUGCUUCCAAGACUGCUGUGCUUGAGUGUGGGAGAGGCGCGUGGAAUUGCAGGUGUAGCGGUGAAAUGCGUAGAUAUCUGCAGGAACACCCGUGGCGAAAGCGGCGCGCUGGACCACUACUGACGCUGAGGAACGAAAGCUAGGGGAGCAAACAGG